UACGUAGGGUGCGAGCGUUGUCCGGAAUUAUUGGGCGUAAAGAGCUCGUAGGCGGUUUGUUAAGACAGGUGUGAAAUCCCCGAGCUCAACUUGGGAAUGGCGCUUGUUACUGGCAAGCUAGAGUGUGUCAGAGGGAGGUAGAAUUCCACGUGUAGCAGUGAAAUGCGUAGAGAUGUGGAGGAAUACCGAUGGCGAAGGCAGCCUCCUGGGAUAACACUGACGCUCAUGCACGAAAGCGUGGGGAGCAAACAGG
rnacentral:rRNA from 1 species